CGGAGAUCAGUAGAUAAAUCAUGGCAUUUUCAUUCCGAUUAAUCGGAGUAAGCAUUAUCAGUUGUCUUCUUCUGUUAUCAUCAACCGCAACCGGUGAUGAUGAUAUCUCACGCGCCGCCCCUGCUAAUGCAUCGAGCUCCUGUAACAAUCCUUAUCGAAUGGUUCUGGUGAAGUUAUGGAUUGAUGGUGCUGAGCAAGAAUCAAUAGGUGGCUUAAGUGCGGCAUUUGGAUCUCUUUUAUCCACUGAUACUAAAAAUGCCCCUAGAUUGCCUGCUACUUGUACAAAACCCUUGAAUGGCUGUUCCAGCUCCUCUUUUAAGUUAUCAGGCUCCAUUGCACUAGCUCUUCGCGGUCAAUGUGAUUUUCUAACGAAGGCUAUGGUUGCACAAGCAGGAGGUGCUGCAGGGAUUGUGCUGAUAAAUGAUCAAGAAGAUCUUGUGGAGAUGGCUUGUCCUAACAAUUCUACAGUAUCAAACGUAACAAUUCCUGUUGUAACCAUUUCAAAAGCCGGAGGAGAUGUCAUAGACAAGUAUAUCUCUGCUGGAAAGAAAGUGGAGAUUAUGUUUUAUUCGCCAGAUCGGCCCAUUGUGGACUACUCAGCAAUGUUCAUAUGGAUGAUGGCUGUUGGCACAAUAUUUUGUGCAUCCUUUUGGUCGGAGUUCACUACAUCUAAGGAAAACAAUAUCAAUGAACAGUCACCAGAGGUGAUUGCUGGAGGUUCCAGGGAAGAAGAUGACAAGGAAAUCCUAAAUAUCACUACAAAGAGUGCUUUUGUAUUUGUCAUCACAGCGUCUACGUUUCUGUUGCUACUUUACUUUUUCAUGUCUUCUUGGUUUGUCUGGCUGCUGAUAAUACUUUUCUCUAUUGGUGGAGUUGAGGGAAUGCAUAGCUGUAUAGUAUCCCUGGUAUCGAGCAAAUGUAAAGGUUGUGGAAGGAAGAAGUUGAAUUUGCCGCUUCUUGGGGAGAGUUCUAUUCUUUCUCUUGUGGUAUUGAUAUUAUGUGUGGCAUUUGCAAUAUCAUGGGUAGCAACUAGGAAAGCAUCAUACUCUUGGAUCGGCCAAGAUAUUCUGGGAAUCUGUUUGAUGAUAAC
rnacentral:misc_RNA from 1 species